rnacentral:snoRNA from 1 species
AGAAUUUCUUAUAAAUGAUGCUCUUUAGCAAUUCAUAACUCAUUGUUCAGUAUGAGUUUUGAUACAUACAAGAAGGAAUAUG